rnacentral:rRNA from 1 species
GACGAACGCUGGCGGCGUGCUUAACACAUGCAAGUCGAACGGUGACGCUCCAGCUUGCUGGAGUGGAUCAGUGGCGAACGGGUGAGGAACACGUGUGCAACCUGCCCCAGACUCUGGAAUAAGCGCUGGUAACGGCGUCUAAUACUGGAUACGAAACUGGCCCGCAUGGGCAUGGUUUGGAAUGUUUUUCGGUUUGGGAUGGGCUCGCGGCCUAUCAGCUUGUUGGUGAGGUAAUGGCUGACCAAGGCGACGACGGGUAGCCGGCCUGAGAGGGGGACCGGCCACACGGGGACUGAGAGACGGCCCAGACUCCUAUGGGAGGCAGCAGUGGGGAAUAUUGCACAAUGGGCGAAAGCCUGAUGCAGCGACGCCGCGUGAGGGAUGACGGCCUUCGGGUUGUAAACCUCUUUCAGCAGGGAAGAAGCGAAAGUGACGGUACCUGCAGAAGAAGCACCGGCUAACUACGUG